rnacentral:rRNA from 1 species
UACGAAGGGGGCAAGCGUUGUUCGGAAUUACUGGGCGUAAAGCGCACGUAGGCGGACUAUUAAGUCAGGGGUGAAAUCCUGGAGCUCAACUCCAGAACUGCCUUUGAUACUGGCGGUCUCGAGUCCGGGAGAGGUGAGUGGAACUGCGAGUGUAGAGGUGAAAUUCGUAGAUAUUCGCAAGAACACCAGUGGCGGAGGCGGCUCACUGGCCCGGUACUGACGCUGAGGUGCGAAAGCGUGGGGAGCAAACAGG